GAUGAACGCUGGCGGCGUGCCUAAUACAUGCAAGUCGAGCGAACAGAUGAGGAGCUUGCUCCUCUGACGUUAGCGGCGGACGGGUGAGUAACACGUGGAUAACCUACCUAUAAGACUGGGAUAACUUCGGGAAACCGGAGCUAGUACCGGAUAAUAUAUUGAACCGCAUGGUUCAAUAGUGAAAGACGGUUUUGCUGUCACUUAUAGAUGGAUCCGCGCCGCAUUAGCUAGUUGGUAAGGUAACGGCUUACCAAGGCAACGAUGCGUAGCCGACCUGAGAGGGUGAUCGGCCACACUGGAACUGAGACACGGUCCAGACUCCUACGGGAGGCAGCAGUAGGGAAUCUUCCGCAAUGGGCGAAAGCCUGGCGGAGCAACGCCGCGUGAGUGAUGAAGGUCUUCGGAUCGUAAAACUCUGUUAUUAGGGAAGAACAAAUGUGUAAGUAACUAUGCACGUCUUGACGGUACCUAAUCAGAAAGCCACGGCUAACUACGUG
rnacentral:rRNA from 1 species